AUGUACAUGCCUACAACGUUAAUGCAUUGAAUUCCAUCAGAACUCCAUAGUUAAGCGUGCUUGAGCUAGAGUAGUACUGGGAUGGGUGACCUUCUGGAAAGUCUUAGUGUUUUACAUG
rfam:Picea glauca, whole genome shotgun sequence.